GGGUUGUGAGGUUAAGCGACUAAGCGUACACGGUGGAUGCCCUGGCAGUCAGAGGCGAUGAAGGGCGUGCUAAUCUGCGAUAAGCGCCGGUAAGGUGAUAUGAACCGUUAUAACCGACGAUACCCGAAUGGGGAAACCCAGUGUGACUCGUCACACUAUCAUUAACUGAAUCCAUAGGUUAAUGAGGCGAACCGGGGGAACUGAAACAUCUAAGUACCCCGAGGAAAAGAAAUCAACCGAGAUUCCCCCAGUAGCGGCGAGCGAACGGGGAGGAGCCCAGAGCCUGAAUCAGCAUGUGUGUUAGUGGAAGCGUCUGGAAAGGCGCGCGAUACAGGGUGACAGCCCCGUACACAAAAGCGCAUGUGCUGUGAGCUCGAUGAGUAGGGCGGGACACGUGGUAUCCUGUCUGAAUAUGGGGGGACCAUCCUCCAAGGCUAAAUACUCCUGACUGACCGAUAGUGAACCAGUACCGUGAGGGAAAGGCGAAAAGAACCCCGGCGAGGGGAGUGAAAAAGAACCUGAAACCGUGUACGUACAAGCAGUGGGAGCACAGGUUUACCUGUGUGACUGCGUACCUUUUGUAUAAUGGGUCAGCGACUUAUAUUCUGUAGCAAGGUUAACCGAAUAGGGGAGCCGCAGGGAAACCGAGUCUUAAUUGGGCGUUAAGUUGCAGGGUAUAGACCCGAAACCCGGUGAUCUAGCCAUGGGCAGGUUGAAGGUUGGGUAACACUAACUGGAGGACCGAACCGACUAAUGUUGAAAAAUUAGCGGAUGACCUGUGGCUGGGGGUGAAAGGCCAAUCAAACCGGGAGAUAGCUGGUUCUCCCCGAAAGCUAUUUAGGUAGCGCCUCGUGA
rnacentral:rRNA from 1 species